rnacentral:rRNA from 1 species
AUUGAACGCUGGCGGCAGGCCUAACACAUGCAAGUCGAGCGGCAGCGGGUCCUUCGGGAUGCCGGCGAGCGGCGGACGGGUGAGUAAUGCCUAGGAAUCUGCCUGGUAGGGGGGGAUAACGUUCGGAAACGGACGCUAAUACCGCAUACGUCCUACGGGAGAAAGUGGGGGAUCUUCGGACCUCACGCUAUCAGAUGAGCCUAGGUCGGAUUAGCUAGUUGGUGGGGUAAAGGCUCACCAAGGCGACGAUCCGUAACUGGUCUGAGAGGAUGAUCAGUCACACUGGAACUGAGACACGGUCCAGACUCCUACGGGAGGCAGCAGUGGGGAAUAUUGGACAAUGGGCGAAAGCCUGAUCCAGCCAUGCCGCGUGUGUGAAGAAGGUCUUCGGAUUGUAAAGCACUUUAAGUUAGGAGGAAGGGCAGUAAGUUAAUACCUUGCUGUUUUGACGUUACCAACAGAAUAAGCACCGGCUAACUUCGUGCCAGCAGCCGCAGUAACAC